rnacentral:lncRNA from 1 species
AUGGCCACCACUGACCAAGCACUGCCCAGCCACCUGAUCUUUAUGCCCGUCUGGGACCCUCAGAGCUUUCUUAAAGGGAUUCCCAAAAGAACUCAUUUUAACACUUGGUUUUUGAUCAAUCAUUCCGUAAGCCUAUUUACACUAAUCACUGUUACCUCACAAGAGCCUAAAUAUGCACUGGGUUACCUCUGUUGUACGUUUCAAGUGAUUAUGCCACCAAACUUUGCAUCCAGUGUCUUCUGUUGUUCGUGUGGUCACAUCAGUCUAAUUUUACUUUUAUUGUUAGUUGCCUGACGUAGGAUAGUAUUUUAGAUUCUGAGUGAGAUUGUAACGAUUCACUUAUAUGCUUGUUGUAACUAUCUAAGUAUUUCAAGAGGGUAAAAAGGCUGAUUGGCACAGUAAUGUCCAGCUGAUGCACCAGACACUUAGGAUUUCCUUUCUCUGGACAGACAGUCAGAACCACUCUUGGAAGGGGAGGCACCACCUUGGGAGCUGAUUGCUCCUUUUGUCAGGUGGUUGGUAUGGGAAAAGAAAAUCUGCAGAAAGUUGUUUCCUCUGAAUGUGAAUUCUAAACUUGACAUUAGAUAGCUGCUCCAACAGUAUGAGAUUCCUCAGAAGUCACCAUAAAACUUAUUACCUUUUAUGAUCUGUUGAAUGUGAAAGAAAAUUUGUCUGGCUAUUGGUUUCAAGACCAAGAUGAAAAAACAGCCCUCCCAUGAUAUUACCCUGAAAACAUUUGAAUCCUUUCAGUCAGUGAAUAAUCGAACCCAAAAGGUUAUUAGCUAAUUCUUAUAGAAAAUUGUCCAAAUUAUCAUUCUUGGUAUCUUCUUGAGGUAAUGAAAUUCAUAGCUGUAGAAUCUAUUGUGCAUGUAUUUUUCAGCUUCACUGGGUCUUCCUCUACUUUCUGGCAUUUUGCAAACAUCAGUUUGUUCUCUUCUGAAGGUUAACACUUUUAUAGCUGAUCAUAUUCCAUGUCAAGCCUUUUUAUUUCUAGAGUAGGCCCAUUUUUAAAACCCUGACAUCAUGAGGCAGCAUUUCUACCCUCUGACAUAAACUUUUUAACUCAAUUGUGUCUUCCUUAACAUUCAGCAGCCAGGAUUUGGCUCACAGCUUCCUGGUCUGGAGGCCCCCAUGGUUUUUAUAAUGAGAGGAUAGUGUUUCUGAUUCAUAUUUCAUUCAAAGUAACCCACAUCCCAUUAGGGGUAAUUGAUGUUGCCCAGCCUGUUUUACUCUUUUCAGCUCUCACACUCUCUAGAGUCUAGAGGCAACUAUCUUUUGUGAAUAUGGUGACUCUCAAGUCACUGCCCUUUGUCUUAACUGGUCCUUUAGUUGCCUAUCACCUUAUAAAUAUAAUUUGGUUUACCUAAAAUACUCAGCUUUAUAAGAUUAUACAAGAGCUUGUUCCCAUUGAAUUGACAUUCACAAACUAGAGAUACUUAAUAUCAGUUUUAUUUGUUUCUGCAUGACAAAAUAUUCUGAGGCCAAUCUCUGUUCUUUUUAGCUCCUCAUUGAGAAAAAUUACCCUUUUAUUUUCAUGCCUUUUAUUUUCUGUCUCUUAGGCAUGUCCCUGGCCAUAAUGGAGGAAAAUUGAGUUAUCAUUAAUGUAAGGGAAAUAGGGUGAUAGACUUUUCACAGAUCUUGUUAUAGGGUUUUGAAAAUAUCAAUAAUGUCUACUAAUUCAUUUUCUCAUGAGUGCUCCUUACCCCUCAAAAAAAUAUGGUGUGGGCCAGGCAUGGUGGCUCAUGCCUGUAAUCCCAGAACUUUGGGAAGCCAAGGCAAGUGGAUCACUUGAGCUCAGGAGUUCAUGACCAGCCUGGACAACAUGUUGAAACCUUUUCUCUACAAAAAAAUACAAAAAGUUUGCCAGGUGUGGUGGUGCACCUGUGGUUCUAGCUACCCGGGAGGCUGAGGUGGGAGGAUUACUUGAGCCCAGGAGGUCCAGGCUGCAGUGAGCUGUGAACGCACCAUUGCACUCCAGCCUGGGUGACAGAGCAAAACCCUGUCUCAAGUAUAUGUAUAUAUACGGUGUGUAAGUCUGGCUUUAAUUUUAACUUAUGAGCAAUAUCCUUUCAUGCCUUUCACCCAUAGAUUUGCCUAAGAACUCAAUAAUUAUAUCUUUCUGUCUAGCAUCCAUCAAUUUACCUAACAUGACUGUAACCUUCUGUUUCAGUAGCAUAGCACCAAACUUCCAAAUUUUUGCAUUUUUUUUUUCCUGAAAGAAACACAUAGAUUACCUGGUCCAAGCUUCUCACUUUAUAGAUGUGAAAACUGAGGCCCAGAAUGCUGAAGUGACUUGAUUGAAGCGGCAGAUGAGUUGUCUCCAGACCAAGUUUCUCACCAACUCUUCAGCAUUUCAAUGUGACCAUUUAGAUUUUCAGGUGCCUGUCAUUUAUAAGCAAGUAUUCAAACAUUCUGACUUGGCAUUUCUGCCAAAUCCCUCAGAGGCCAGUUGUCCAAAGGGAUGGGCCAGUUACUCAGUUACCUCCAUUUUUAGCCUGCCAUAUAGCUUCUUCCUAAAUACCCUAGUAGGUUCUUGACAUGAAUCAUGAAAUGAUUCAGAUUUUAUUCUUGGGCAGAACAUAUGCAGCUUGUUACUCUCCGCAUCAUAUUAUAGUUACAUACUAUUGACAUAUGUUUCUCCUGCACUAGACAGUAAACACCUUAAGGCAGUGAUUCUUCAUGAUUAGUAUCUUAGAUUGUAGCAGGUACUUGGGAAAUCUUUGAAUAACUGAAUGAUUGAAAGACCCACCAGGGACAUAUUGGUAACCUCAUUGUAAUGAACUAUACGUCCUUUUAACUGUCCGGUAAACACAAGUACAGGUCAUUCAAAUGGUUUUGGCAACUGACAUCCAAAUGUAAAAAAGAGAAAUGUGAUCCAUGCCUGGUAUUAUAUACAAAACUUAACUCAAAAUGAAUCAGAUCUAAGUGUAAAACUUAAAACAACAAAACUUGUAAAAGAAAACAUAGGAGAAAAUCUUUAUGUCUGUAGGUGAGAUGAAGACUUCUUAGCUAUAACACCAAAAGUAUAGAAAAAAUAAUAAACCUUUUCAAAAUUAAAACAUCUGCUCUUCAAAAGAUACUGUCAAGAGAAUGAAAAAACAAGGUCAGGCGCGGUGGCUCAUGCCUAUAAUCCCAGCACUUCGGGCUGAGGCGGGCAGAUCAUUUGAGGUCAGGAGUUUGAGACCAGCCUGGCCAAUGUGGUGAAAAACCCCGUCUCUACUAAAAAUACAAAAAUUAGCCAGGCAUGGUGGUGGGCACCUAUAGUCCCAGCUGCUCAGGAGGCUGGAGAAUUGUUUGAACCUGGGAAGCAGAGUUUGCAGUGAGCCAAGAUGGGGCCACUGCACUCCAGACUGGGCAACAGAGUGAGACUUCAUCUCAACACAAACACACAAACAACGACGACAACAACCAAAACAACAACACAACAACAAAAGACAAGUGCACAAUAGAGGAAAAUAUCAUAAAACACGUAUCUGGUAAGUCCUUAAUACAAAGAACUCUCCAAACAAUAAUAAUAAAGCUAACAAUCCAAUUUUUCAAAUUGGCCAAUUUCAGGAGACUCUUCAGAAAAGAAGAUAUGUUGGUGGGAAGUAAGUACAUGAAAAUAUGUAAACAUCAUCAGUUAUGAGGGCAAUGCAAGUGAAAUGCAUUUGAAAAACCAUGAGCCUAGUGUGUAGGUCUAUUAGAAUGACUAAAAACAACAAUAAAUGCUGGCAAAGAUGUUGAGCAACUGUGACUCUCAUCCGUUCCUGGUGGGAAUGCAAAAUGGUAUAGCCACUUUUGAAAACCAUUUGACAGUUUUACAAAGUUCAAUAUACACUUACCACACGAUGCAGCAAUCCUACUCAUAAGCAUCAAGAAAGAGAAAGAAAAUUUAUGUUUUUACAGUAACCUGGAAUAGGAUGUUUAUAGUAGCUUUAUUCAUAAUCUCCAAAAACUGGAAACAAUGUUCUUCAACCAGUGAAUGGAUAAACAAACUCUAGUUCAUCCACGCAAUACAAUACUAAUCAGAAACGUUUAAAAAAGUAUUGACACACACAACAAAGUAGAUGAAUCUCGAGUUAAAUUAUGGUGAGCGAAAGCAUGCAGAUCCAAAAGGCUACACAGUGGAUUAUAUAUGGCAUUAAGGAAAAGGCAAAACAUAACAGAGAAAACUGAUCGGGAGUUGACAAGGACUGGGAAUUGGGGAGGGGCUUACCACAAAGAGACACAAAGGUAUUUUGGGGGGUGAUAAAAGUAUUAUGUGUCUUGAUUGUUGUAGCAGUUACAUAACUGUAUGCAUUUGUCAAAAUCUAUAGUACUGUACACUAGAAAGGUACAUUUUACUCCAUAUAAUUAUAUUCAACAAACCUGACUUUUUAAAAAAGUGUUUUUUUCUCCUUUGAUUAAUUAAAAACAUUUGAAUACCAGCCUUUCUAAAAUAAAGUGUCUUGGAUCGCUUUUUAAAGUGUUUUUGGUGUUUCUAGGUUCCUAAAUUUUGAGAAAUUCAUUUAAGUGUUAUUAAAAUUGGAACACCAGAACUGAGUGGAUGCCCCUCCACACCCCACCUGACCACCUAUCCUCAGACCUUGGCCAGAACCUUCAUUGCAUUCCACAUUUAUGAUUAUUCAAAUAGCUGUUAAAUAGUUAACACCCGGAACAUGUCUAUGGUUUGGAUAAGGCCAGAUAAUAUAAUCUUUACCAAGAAUAUACAACUUUAAAAAACAUGUAUACUUUGAGUGUACAAGACCCUAAAACAAUUUCAUGCCAAACACAGAGCUUGGCUUACAAAGACAAACCUGUUAAAGCUACUGCUACUGGUUGUGAACAAAAAGUGUAGCAAAGGUACAGAUAUCCCAUAUUUGUCUAGGAAGCUUUUUGAAUAUAGUAUGAAUUGAUGUUAAUAUAGGGGUAGGAAAAUAAGCAACAUGAAAAUGUUAACAAUGUUUACAUGAAAAGAAAAUUAUAUAAUGAAUUCACUAGCACUGCAAGUUCACAGGUUUUGUGAUCCCUCACCCUUUUUUUUUUAGAGUUGGAGUCUUGCUAUAUUGCCCAGGCUGGCCUCAGACUCCUGGGCUCAAGCGAUCCUCCUGCCUUAGCCUCCCGAGUAGCUGAGGCUACAGCCACAUGCCACCACCACAGCACCUCGCUGUUUUUGGUGCCUUGUAUUA